rnacentral:rRNA from 1 species
AACGCGAAGAACCUUACCAGGUCUUGACAUCCCGGUGACCGGCGCGUAAUGGUGCCUUUCCUUCGGGACACUGGAGACAGGUGGUGCAUGGUUGUCGUCAGCUCGUGUCGUGAGAUGUUGGGUUAAGUCCCGCAACGAGCGCAACCCUUAUCCUUAGUAGCCAGCAGGUGAAGCUGGGCACUCUGGGGAGACUGCCAGGGAUAACCUGGAGGAAGGUGGGGAUGACGUCAAAUCAUCAUGCCCCUUAUGAUCUGGGCUACACACGUGCUACAAUGGCGUAAACAAAGGGAAGCGAACCUGCGAGGGGGAGCGAACCCCAAAAAUAACGUCUCAGUUCGGACUGCAGUCUGCAACUCGACUGCACGAAGCUGGAAUCGCUAGUAAUCGCGAAUCAGCAUGUCGCGGUGAAUACGUUCCCGGGUCUUGUACACACCG